rnacentral:rRNA from 1 species
CCUACGGGUGGCAGCAGUGAGGAAUAUUGGUCAAUGGACGAGAGUCUGAACCAGCCAAGUAGCGUGAAGGAUGACUGCCCUAUGGGUUGUAAACUUCUUUUAUGUGGGAAUAAACUGUUCCACGUGUGGGUUUUUGUAUGUACCACAUGAAUAAGGACCGGCUAAUUCCGUGCCAGCAGCCGCGGUAAUACGGAGGAUCCGAGCGUUAUCCGGAUUUAUUGGGUUUAAAGGGAGCGCAGGAGGCGUGUUAAGUGAGUUGAGAAAGGUCGCGGCUCAACCGUAAAAUUGCAGUGGAAACUGGCAGGCUUGAGUGCGGUAGAGGUGGGCGGAAUUCGUGGUGUAGCGGUGAAAUGCUUAGAUAUCACGAAGAACUCCGAUUGCGAAGGCAGCUCACUGGACUGCAACUGACGCUGAGGCUCGAAAGUGUGGGUAUCGAACAGGAUUAGAUACCCGAGUAGUC